rnacentral:rRNA from 1 species
AUUGAACGCUGGCGGCAGGUCUAACACAUGCAAGUCGCACGAGUGGCGGACGGGUGAGUAAUGUCUGGGAAACUGCCUGCUGGAGGGGGAUAACUACUGGAAACGUUUGCUAAUACCGCAUACCAUCGGAUGUGCCCAGAUGGGAUUAGCUAGUAGGUGGGGUAAAGGCUCACCUAGGCGCCGAUCCCUAGCUGGUCUGAGAGGAUGACCAGCCACACUGGAACUGAGACACGGUCCAGACUCCUACGGGAGGCAGCAGUGGGGAAUAUUGCACAAGGGGCGCAAGCCUGAUGCAGCCAUGCCGCGUGUAUGAAGAAGGCCUUCGGGUUGUAAAGUACUUUCAGCGGAGAGGCGUUACCCGCAGAAGGAGCACCGGCUAACACCGUGCCAGCAGCCGCGGUAAUUC